rnacentral:rRNA from 1 species
GUUGUAUAGUCAAGUAAUUAAGUGCAUGUGGUGGAUGCCUUGGCAGUCAGAGGCGAUGAAAGACGUAAUAGCCUGCGAUAAGCUCCG